rnacentral:lncRNA from 1 species
CCUGCCUGCAGCCCUGUGUGGUCUCAUCCACUUGUUGAGUAUGAAACACUGAACUGUGGAAAAUGUACCUGAGGACUGGACAUAGCAUGAGGAAGCUCUUUUGUCCUGACCUUCAAAAUGUAUGCACAAUGUAAUCUCCAAAUGGAAAAACUCCAUGGCAAGAGAAGGCGCCCAGCAAAAGCACCACCUACUCCUGUCGCAGUCCACAGAUCCAUACCCUCCGGGUGUACCAACAUAAAGUUUACCAGCCCCAGAGACAACCACCUCCUCAUCUCAUCCAAUAUUACUGCUUCCUCUGAUAUUUCAGGUAAGUGGUUCUUUGUUCACUCCAAAACUGCAUUUAGUGAAAUCAAGACUAGCUUACACUGGCAUUUAAAUAAAACACUUUUACCAAGCAAGCUCACUUUGAUUAGAACAAUUAAGGCAGAGACUCCAUGA